rnacentral:misc_RNA from 1 species
AACGCACAUUGCGCCUCCUGGUAUUCCGGGAGGCACGCCUGUUCGAGCGCCAUUACACACUCCAAGCGCAGCUUGAUGUUGGACGAUGCGGGUUAUGCGCACGUCUGGAACGCGUGGGCGUCCGUCUGUCGAGACACCGCGAGCGUAGCAAGAUUUCGUAUGGGAUCAUUCGCUCGGACGGGACUCCAGGGGGCGGCCUCUGUUCGACACGGAAUUUUCGUGUGUGGACAUGCAUAUUAGAUGUACAUGGUUUGGCCUCGGAUCAGGCGGGGAUACCCGCUGAACUUAA